rnacentral:lncRNA from 1 species
CCCGCGGCAGGAAGGGCUUCUGCUUCUGUGUGCAGACACGCGAACAGAAUAGUUUAUCUUCAGCAAGUCUUCCAGGUCUGAUAAAACAACCUGUAACCCUUCAUCCACGUCUGUGCGUCUUUACCCAGAAUCUUCGGACGUUUUUUUGUAGUUUUUACUAUGAACGUCGACACUGUUUGGCCUCUCUGGAUUUCGUUCAUUUCUUUUCAGUGCUGCUUUCUAGCAAAGCGAGGGAUGCGAAGUGCUUUUGUUGGGUUGGCCUAAGUGAUUUGACAUUGAAAAGAAUUUUGUCUUUUCUCUUGUCAGAGACUUGUGUUAAGAGAGUUCUCCAGUUCAUCAUGAAGUUUUGUUAAUGCUGUUUUCUAUUUAUCAAAGUAAAGACAUACUUGUUUUAUCGAUACUAGUUACCGAGGAGUUGCUCUAGGUACGUUUUAUUUUCCAAAGUAUUUCUGAAAUUGUUAUCCAAGUCUCGCAGGCUAAUCUGAAAAUAAUACAUCCAUCCACACUCCUUUUUGAUCUUCGUUUCUACAAUCUUAUUCUGACGUGUUGCUCAUACAUUAAAGUUACAGGGACUUUGUUGUUAUUCUUGUUACAAGGAAUUUGAAAGGGCUUUAAUUUGGAAAGGAUGUGGAAGACACCACACCGGACUGUAUUCUACGCUAUUAUCUCCAAUAUUUUGUAAGUGAAUUUAUAAACCAGACCGCCACGGCGGAAUCUGAGCACUAAGUAGGUAAAGGCUGAAGGCAGACCAUUUCAAGUUCAAGCCCAGUUUAGGCUAACUAAAGCUUCACAGAAACCUUGACUUAAAAAGAAAAAAAAAGAAGAAGAAGAAGAAGAACAAAAGAGUCCAUCUCUUGAGUUUCUUAAUGUUCCCGUGCUCUUGGUUAUCUUAUUAUUAAAACCCAAAAUGAAAACAAGUCCAAAGUAAAGCUUGGUAGAAAACAAGAACAAGACUCUAAAUAACCAUCUCACCUACAGGCAAAAGCCAGUCUGUGUGCUUUAUUCACAAAGCCAAGACAGGGAUUAGUGGUAAGAGAACAUUGAGCCUAAAUUAAAAACAGUGAAUGUAGAAAGC